rnacentral:pre_miRNA from 1 species
CUGUAAUUUCAUAUUUCUCCACUUUUGGUCCCUCAUUUUACGUGCCAUGUAUGCAGAUUCUGCUGACGUGGUGAAAAGAGAGAUCAAAAGUGGAAAAAUAUGAAAUUACAA